rnacentral:lncRNA from 1 species
UUUUACAGUUUACAUCAUUUUUUGAGCUUAAAAAGAUAAAUUUACGUUAAUGAGUGUAAUCGACAUAAUAUUUCUCGGUUGGUGUUUUUCUACCCAUUCAGUUGGGUUUUUGACCUGUCUUGCAUGGGUUCCUCAUCUCUUAUUCUAUAGGACGAUGAGAGUUGGGCUUCUUCUUAUGAAGUCCAAAAUUCUUAAAGGAAUUGACAGCUUUCAUUACCACUUGUCAUCACAAGUGCAACUCGAGUUUCUUGAGUUCCCCUCCUCCUAUUCUACAGGUUGGUGGGAGAUGGUUUUCUUGCACGAAAUCCAUAAUAUAGCACAUCGUGCUUUGCAUCGGAAUUGACGGUAUUCAUUUUACUUGUUAAUGCAAGUGCAACCUGUGUUUCAUGGGUUCCCCACCGCCUAGUCUACGGGUCAUGGUGGGAGUUUGACUUCCUCUUAUGAAGUUUAAAAAUCUAAAAGGAAUUAACAGAUUUUAUCUUGUGAAUACAAGAUUGCCUAAGCUUCUUAGGCCCCCACCACUUAUUCAACGAGUCUUGGUGGGAGUUGGACUCAUAUUAUAAUGUCCAAAUGGCUUCAGCAAGGAAUUGACGGAUUUGAAAGAAGAAAAAUUCAUCACGAGCAAUUAAGGUGAAUAAAAGAUGUUUGGCAGAUUGACCACGUCUCAGUGUUUUCAUCAUAUCUGGCUCAUCCGAACUCCGAUUUAGGCGAUUCAAGAUGUUUCGGAAACUAGACACAAUUAUCUACAAGUUUCGUGUUUUGAGUUUUCAAUAAUUCAGUCGUUUUCCAGUUCAAAAUCGACUUGGAAGUUGAAUUUAGUUUGCUGGAAGAAAAUCAAAAGCUAAAGUAAAUUUUGAAAUAAAGUUGAAAGAUAAAGGGCUAAAGUUGUAACAUGCUGAAAGUUGAAAGCAAAGGGAUAAAUUUGUGCAAUGCAUGAAGGUUGGAGGAUCAUUCACGUAAUUAUGAUCUAUAUAAUAAUUGUUAGGCGAUCAAAUGGGGGGUGGCACGAAUAAAAAAAAUACGCAUGGAAAAUACCUACGAAGAUAAGAUGGUCGCCAUUCCUUCAGCCACCACGAUUGUUGCGAUUGAAGAGGACAUAUGACUUCGUUCUUGAGGCUACCUAUGUAGUAAUCACAUAUACCAAGUAAAUCAAUUUGGUCAUCUAUUUAACUUUCUAGUUAUUUUGUUUAUUUAUUUACUUUUGUUUCUCCUGCUAUGUAACUUGCUUUCGGUUCAUAACUUAUUAUUCAUUGUGUGUUAGUUUUAUGGUUGUUUUAAAUAUGAUGUUUAAACUUUGUUUAUCCACUAUUAUCAAUUUUAAUUUUAUGGAGUAAUAAUCUUUAGGGUUUGGUUGACUAGGAUGAGAUGAUAAUUUUAAUGUAGUUGAUUUUGUUUGAACCAAUUUUGUUGAAAUCGAAUAGCAUAUUCAAAUGUGUUCUUAUUUUAAAAAUAUAAAUUUUGAUCUGUAACUUUGAUUUUGGCUAACAUUUGAUCAACGUUGGUUAUGGUUAAUUUACUUGGUUUAAAUUUAAUAUUUACAUGCUUAUAUUGACUUCGAGAGAAGCUUUAUUUGUGACAUUGUUUGAAUAUGAAUGUGCGGUUUCGUUAUCUCGCUUAAACUUAACAUAGACGUGUGUUAGGGCAUUUUUAACAAAACCAUUGGACUUAAUGCUUUUUAAAAUCAUAAACUACAUAGAGAUAUGAGUGAAUGUUUUUUAAAUCGAAUCAUGAGACCGAGAGGUAAUUGAUAACUUUUGUUGGUGUUAAGUUAUUCGUUUCUAUAUAAUUGGUUUGACAAAUUAGUUGCAUUAGAAGAAUCAUUGAACCCGUAUAAGUCAACCGAAUCCUGUUUUUCUCAUAAUUUAUUUUUCGUUUUUACCUUGGUGAAUUUAGUUUAAUUUUAUUUUAAUUGUUUCCUUAGUUUAAUAAAAUCAAUCACUUUUGCAAUCAAUUGCCUAGUUCACUCUUUCUUAGAAUAGGAUAGUCCCUGUGGGUUCGAUAUCUGGUCUUACGACUAUACUACUUGCACGACCUCGUAUACUUGCGAGUACGCGUUUUCGUCAACAAGUUUUUGGCGCCGUUGCCGGGAAAUAUUUUUAUUUUUAAGUUAGAACAUUAGGUAUUUAUUAGACUCUUAAACAUCUUGAGGAUAUUUUACUCUGGCCGGUCGAAGAUUCAGACCACCUGAAUUUGCGCUUGAUUGGGAGAUUGAAAGAACUUUGAGAGGGUUGAGGAGACUUAGGAAUCAAGAAGAUAUGGGAGAUAACGUAAACAAAAACAAUAAUGGAAACAGAGGUUUCGAAGGAACAAACCCGCCAAUUGUCAGCGCAACAAUUAAUGCUGACAAUUUUGAAUUCAAACCUGUGAUGUUUCAGAUGAUCAAUAACAAUGGUCUCUUUGGAGGUAUGCCUAGUGAUGAGCCCUUGUCCCAUCUGCGUUCCUUUAACCAGAUGUGCGAUAAUUUCAAACAAAGAGGUAUGACGGCUGAUGCAUUUAGGAUGAGAUUAUUUCCAUACACACUACAAGGGAAAGCUCGAGACUGUUUUGAGUCUUUGCCUUCUGAUUCCAUCACCACGUGGGAGGAAUUAAGAGAAAAAUUCCUAAAAAGAUUUUUCCCACCCACUCGAAAUGCAAAUCUAAGAAACGCCAUCACAUCAUUCCAACAAAUGGAUGGUGAAUCGUUAUGGGAAGUGUGGGAGAGAUGGAACAAUUUGCUAAGAAAAUGUCCAACACAUCGACUCCCUGACGAUGUGAAACUUGAGACAUUUUACCAAGGUUUGGAUGCUCAAACAUGCAUGCUAGUAGAUACAUCAGCUGGAGGAGCAUUGCUUACAAAGAGAUAUGAGGAGAGCGUGGAGAUAUUGGAUAGAAUAGCAACCAAUAAUUUCCAGUGGCCCACAGAUAGGGUACAUGCAAGUGGUUCGAAAGGAAGUACACCGGCUGAAGUUCGUCUUGCAGCUCAAAAUGAUGCAUUAGCAGCCGAGUUGGCCACAAUCAAGAGCAUGAUGAAGAAUAUGAUGUCAAGCAAUGGGAUGAAAGAGAAGAAGGUUGACUUUUGUGUGGUUUGUCAAGGCAUCCAUGAUUAUAGUGAGUGCCCACAGAAUCCUGAAUCCGUAUUUUUCAUGGACAGACAAAAUUUCCCACGAAAAAACAAUCCAUACUCUGAAACAUACAAUCUAGGAUGGAGAAAUCAUCCUAAUUUCUCAUGGGGUGGACAGCAACAAUAACAUAUGCAAUCUCAGCAAGAGCAGUUUCAGCAAAGGCCUCAAAACCCGCCGGGGUUUUAUCAUAUGCCAAAUCAGCAAGUAGGACCACAUGGAGGCGCAUUCCACCAGGCAUCAGGAAGUAGUUCAAAACCAGCAACGCCUUCAUCAAAUCAAGAGAUGUCACCUUUCGAGAAAGCAAUGAUGGAGUUUAUGAUAAAACAAGAUCAAAAGACUGAGGCACGUGAAAAGAAUCAAGAAAUUGCUAUGAGAAAUUUAUAAAAUCAAUUAGGGCAAUUAGCACAAGCACUAAACUCACGAGAACCUGGAACGUUGCCAAGUAACACCCAAAAUCCAGGUAAUGUCAAUGAUAAGAGGCAAUGUAAUGCCAUCACACUUAGAUCGGGAAAGGAGUUAGCUCCAAAGAAUUAUGACUUACCAGUCACCGAUGAUGAGCAGCACCCGGUAAGUGUUAAGACUCAUAAAAAGAAGCAAGAAUUGAAAGAUGAUGAAAAAGAGUAUGUCGAGAUUGAGGACAUAACCGAUGAGGAGUACGGGCAGAAGAAACCGAACAACGAAGCUCUAACAAGUUCAAGUCCAAGUGUUGGAAAAGAAAGCCCAAGGAAAAGAUGCUCGAACUGGUGCGACAGUUGCACCAACAACCUUACCUUUCCCACCUAGGAAAAGUAAAUCCAACGAAGAUGAUGGGCAAUUUAAGAAGUUUCUAGAGAUCCUUUCUCAACUUCAUAUCAACAUCCCUUUUGUUGAAGCCUUAAAACAAAUGCCCACAUAUGCAAAGUUCAUGAAGGAAGUUCUUACAAGGAAAAGAGUUUGGAGAGAGUUUGAGACUGUUGCAAUGACGAAAAGUUGCACGUCAAUAAUCAAAAAUAGAUUACCUGUGAAGAAGGAUGAUCCAUGUAGUUUCAUUCUACCGUGCAAAAUUGGAAAAUUUAACAAGAUUGGUUUGUGUGACCUUGGUGCAAGUAUCAAUUUAAUGCCUUUGUCAAUUUUUCGAAAAUUAGGACUUGGUGAAGCUAGACCGACCACAGUUUCACUCCAGCUAGCAGACCGAUCUAUGGUAUAUCUAGAAGGUAAAAUAGAGGAUAUCAUUAUCAAGGUUGAUAAUCUUUUCAUUCCAGCUGAUUUUAUCAUUUUGGAUUAUGAAGCUGAAGAUGAUUGUGGAAUAAUCUUAGGGAGGCCAUUUUUGGCAAUUGCUGAUGCUUUAAUUGAUGUCAAAAAGGGAAAGGUUACAUUGAGAGUAAAUGACGAGCAAAAGACUUUUAAUAUGUUUAAGGCUAUCAAAAAACCUUCUAAUGUGGAAGAAUGCUCAUUCAUACGAGUUACAAAUGGAUUGGUAGAUUUAAAGGAGGCCCACUUGAACAAGGUGACUCGUAACAUGGAGGAAAAUAGAGAGUCCACAGUUAAACGUGUAGUGAGUCAGGUCAAGGAGAAGCAUGACUUGAAUGAUAGUGUGAUUGAAUCAUCUUUGCCAUCCCUUGAAAAAGUAUAUGAUUUAGAGUUGAAGUGGCCUUCAGAACACUUGAUGAAGGUUGGAAAGAAAAGGAUGAAACAUUUGUUGAGGCAUGAGGAGUUUAAAAUAGAAAAUCAUGAAAAUAUCAAAAUUCAAAUGUUUGGGGAUGCGAAAUGGCAANCCAAAAUUCAAAAGUUUGGGGAUGAGAAAUGGCAAGGCAAGGAGAUUUUGAAAAGAGACAACGAGAGAAAGGAUUUGGGUGAUCAAACAACGAGACAAAUACCAUUUUGGAGAAUGAAAAGAGGAAGUGAUGGUGCUUCAUUUGAAGCAGGUUGAAGAGUAAUUUGUUUGUUUUAUUUUUUAAUUUUUAUUUUCAUUUUUUUAAUUUUUAUUAUUAUUAGUUUUAGUAUUAUUAUUUUUGUUUUAUUUUUGCUUUUGUUUUUUUUUCGUUUAUUUCAAUUAUUUUCAUUUUUGCAUUGUUGCUUAUUUCAUUUCUUAUUAUUUGUUUUGUUCUAAUAAAUUUGUCGAGUGUGCAGCCCUUGUUUGCUAUCCAGGUAGUUGGUGAUGAAGUCAGAGUCGUGGAAAACAAAAAGUUUAAGCUAUACUUAGAGAUCAGCCGUCACAAUAUACGUUCUUGGUUUAUCAUAUCAUGUGAGACGACAUACUAUCAGGGAGUAUUCUUUUUAUUCUAUUUUUAUUGCUCGGGAUGAGCAAUGUUUAAAGUUUGGGGAUGUGUUUAGUGCUCGUUUUUCGAUCUCUAAAUGAACUAAAAAACUUAUUUUUGUCCCCAGAUUUUACAGUUUACAUCAUUUUUUGAGCUUAAAAAGAUAAAUUUACGUUAAUGAGUGUAAUCGACAUAAUAUUUCUCGGUUGGUGUUUUUCUACCCAUUCAGUUGGGUUUUUGACCUGUCUUGCAUGGGUUCCUCAUCUCUUAUUCUAUAGGACGAUGAGAGUUGGGCUUCUUCUUAUGAAGUCCAAAAUUCUUAAAGGAAUUGACGGCUUUCAUCACCACUUGUCAUCACAAGUGCAACUCGAGUUUCUUGAGUUCCCCUCCUCCUAUUCUACAGGUUGGUGGGAGAUGGUUUUCUUGCACGAAAUCCAUAAUAUAGCACAUCGUGCUUUGCAUCGGAAUUGACGGUAUUCAUUUUACUUGUUAAUGCAAGUGCAACCUGUGUUUCAUGGGUUCCCCACCGCCUAGUCUACGGGUCAUGGUGGGAGUUUGACUUCCUCUUAUGAAGUUCAAAAAUCUAAAAGGAAUUAAUGGAUUUUAUCUUGUGAAUACAAGAUUGCCUAAGCUUCUUAGGCCCCCACCACUUAUUCAACGAGUCUUGGUGGGAGUUGGACUCAUAUUAUAAUGUCCAAAUGGUUUCUGCAAGGAAUUGACGGAUUUGAAAGAAGAUAAAUUCAUCACGAGAAAAUAAG